UAAAUGUCCAUCCUUGUAAUGCAGACCUUUGCUCCUCUCUGAAGAAGGUAUCUCUUCCUGGGACAGAAGAUGCCACAGAAGCAAAAUCAUUGUUGAAACAAACCAAAUGCAAAAUGGAAAGAUUUCAGAAAACAAAGACCUGUCAUACCACAAGGCUGUCUGUGGUUGCUGGAGCCCACAGCAGGUCCAGCAAGGCCAAAGGUGGCUGUGCUGAACCUAGAACUCUUGUCUUCUGAUACAAGCCCUGUGUGCCUCUGGGAGCUCAGUGGUAAAGAAUCUGGCUUUCAGUGCAGGAGACAUGGGUUUGAUCUCUGAUCUGGG